CGGCAAGAGCUCAAAUUUGAAAUCUGGCCUCCAGGCCCGAGUUGUAAUUUGUAGAGGAUGUUUCGGGUACCGCCACGGCUUAAAUUUCUUGGAACAGAAUGUCAAAGAGGGUGAGAAUCCCGUCUUGAGCCACGGUAGGGCCUGUGUGAAACUCCUUCGAC
rnacentral:rRNA from 1 species